rnacentral:sRNA from 1 species
UUCAAGCCCCGGUAUUUAUCCGAAAAAUCUUGUGUUUUUGGGGUCCCUAAUCUCUGUUGCUGUCAUCUGUGCACAAUGGAUUCUUGUCGCUCUUGAUAUUUCGCUUGCUUCUCGUGUUCGUAAAAACUGUGCAAAGGACUAACAGGACGUAUACAGCGCAGACAGGUAGUGGCAGCAGGAUAAACCAAGAUUCGUCUUUGAGCUUGGAGUAAAGAUGAAACAACGCAGCAGCAGC